CCAUGCAGUCGACGAUGAUCAGGAGCUUGCUCCUGUGAUUAGUGGCGAACGGGUGAGUAACACGUGAGUAACCUGCCCCUGACUCUGGGAUAAGCGUUGGAAACGACGUCUAAUACUGGAUAUGAUCACUGGCCGCAUGGUCUGGUGGUGGAAAGAUUUUUUGGUUGGGGAUGGACUCGCGGCCUAUCAGCUUGUUGGUGAGGUAAUGGCUCACCAAGGCGACGACGGGUAGCCGGCCUGAGAGGGUGACCGGCCACACUGGGACUGAGACACGGCCCAGACUCCUACGGGAGGCAGCAGUGGGGAAUAUUGCACAAUGGGCGAAAGCCUGAUGCAGCAACGCCGCGUGAGGGAUGACGGCCUUCGGGUUGUAAACCUCUUUUAGUAGGGAAGAAGCGAAAGUGACGGUACCUGCAGAAAAAGCACCGGCUAACUACGUGCCAGCAGCCGCGGUAAUACGUAGGGUGCAAGCGUUGUCCGGAAUUAUUGGGCGUAAAGAGCUCGUAGGCGGUUUGUCGCGUCUGCUGUGAAAUCCCGAGGCUCAACCUCGGGCUUGCAGUGGGUACGGGCAGACUAGAGUGCGGUAGGGGAGAUUGGAAUUCCUGGUGUAGCGGUGGAAUGCGCAGAUAUCAGGAGGAACACCGAUGGCGAAGGCAGAUCUCUGGGCCGUAACUGACGCUGAGGAGCGAAAGCGUGGGGAGCGAACAGGAUUAGAUACCCUGGUAGUCCACGCCGUAAACGUUGGGCGCUAGAUGUAGGGACCUUUCCACGGUUUC
rnacentral:rRNA from 1 species